UACGAGAAAAUCCUACAAAAAAAUCUCUCGAUCAUGAAGUUCCUAUCGAUUUUUGUGGUGAUUGCGAUGGUGGCAGCGGCUGUCAGUGGACAAUGCAUACCGAAUGGCGGAAAUAUCGGAUCAACAUGUGAGCAAGCAGAUAGGUGUUGUUCUCGUCGCUGUUGGUUCGGCAGAUGCUUCUAAAUAUGGCUCUUCGAAGGUGAAGACACAUCCAGACGAGAGACGAGUGCUUGCUUCAGAAUGAAAUUUCAAUCACGAUGAUUCCAUUAAUCAUCAUCCCUUGGAAACACUCUCAGUGCUGUUGAUUUCAUACGUUCAUAGUUCUAUUAACGGGAGGAGGGGGUCCGUAAUUAGACUGUUCAACC